UGUAAGAGUAGCACUGCUUCAUGUUUACUCAAGAAAAAAGAAAACAGAGUCAACAAAUAACUCAAAACAUCAGUCAUCUACUGUUUUAAAAUUACAUAAUCAGUUGGACCAAAGUAUUAAGUUAUGUGGAAAAGACAUGUAAAUAAUUCAUGUAAAUAAUAUGGUUACAAAAUGACAAAAUCAGACAAAAGAAAAAAAUGUUUCCAAGUCAAAAGCACCGUAUGAAACUUGUACGUCUGGUGAAUUUCUAGUUAAAGGGGCAGCACUAUGUAAAAUCAUACUGGUUUUUUGUUUUUGUUUUGAGCUUGACAUCAUGUUGUGAUGUUAUUCUCUCAUCAGCCACAGACAGACGGGUGGUCCUUUUGGCAAACGCAUCGCUCAACGCCUUGCUGGAGAUUAGGACUUUCACACAGUUUUGAGGCAGCAUAUGGUUCAGGCCGCCCACGCAGCGAUGACCUCAUCAGCGCCAGACGCAGAAGGAGAUCUUCAAGGGAGCGUCCAAGAAUGUGGAACCAGCCCACGCCGACCCAUCUGAGGGGAAGACGCAGGAAAAGCUGUUGUUGUUGAGAUCGGCUGUGUUACUUAAGUACACAUCAGCAACGUCCCACUCCAUGUUUUCCGCAUUGUACUCCCUUAUGAUAAAACUCACUCUGACCUCUGGUGGUAAGAUCAGCAUGUGGUGCUGUUGCUACAGAGAGGUCUAAAAUUACCGGAAGUAGAAAAAAACCUGUUGUUGAUGUGCUGUGGCACUAACUGGUAAAACGGAAGAGGAGGACAUUUUUUGAUCUGAGACCUGGUGGAGAAGACGACUCUAUGGCCACAUGAGAGAAGAAUCCAAGUGUUCGGUAAUUAAUGUUGGAACUGAAUUAUCUUCCGUGGACAAAGCUACAGAGAUGAUGCUAAUGUCAUUUUUUUCUGUUUGUCCUCUUCUAGAGGUGCCACUGCCGUUUGUUUAUAUGCUGUUAGAUUUCAGCGCUGCGUUCUACUCAGUUGAGCGCUAACCGUAUCGCUAGCCCGCCAUUUCACCGAAGCUAAGGCUUUCUACUGUUCGAAAGACGGGACAUUUAUUUCUCCAUAUAUUGAAUCUCAUUCUUUUUAUUUUGUUUCAAUUCAGAGGGAACAGUGUCUUUUUGAGAAUAAAGAACCCCUUCUAUGUGAAGCUCCGUGUGCUGCAUUAAUCCCGGCUUCACAUAUGGUUGGGGUCACUUGGUGUGAUCCCGGAAGGUUUUGGUCCAGAAAUAACUGGAACUGUUUAGAAAUCAAAUCUGACUUUACAAAAACACCAAGCCCUGGUAUAACUUACUAUUAUAUGAAAAUUGUUCAUCUACGGUCAUUGGUGGCCAACUAGCCUGGCCACACAGAGAGUGAUUAACAGCAGGAAGACCCGCCUCCUGGCUCUGAUUGGUUAUUUCGAACUCGGAGAAAGCAGUGGAGCAGGAUU